GACGUAGGAUGCGAGCGUUGUUCGGAUUUAUUGGGCGUAAAGCGUACGUAGGCGGCUGCCUAAGUCUGGUGUUAAGGCUAGAGGCUCAACCUCUGUGAUGCACUGGAAACUGGGCAGCUUGAGAGCGGUAGGGGAAGGUGGAAUUCCGAGUGUAGCGGUGAAAUGCGUAGAUAUUCGGAAGAACACCGGUGGCGAAGGCGACCUUCUGGGCCGUUUCUGACGCUGAGGUACGAAAGCGUGGGGAGCAAACAGG
rnacentral:rRNA from 1 species